UAUCCUGGGAGAACUUCGAUGCCACGGGGU
rnacentral:piRNA from 1 species